UUCUGUUCCACUGGUGGCCCUUACGCGAAUAUUCAUGAUAUCCUCCUCUUGUGGGCAUGUCCUUGAGACAACGCGCAAGCGAACGGAACUGAAAAUAUUAGUAGACGCUUCUCAAAUCGCAUCGGUUUAAUGGAUUAUUUCGAAAAGUUGCUGUCUGUUUCAGAUUGGAUUUGAGAGCUGAAGUCUUGGAUAGUUCUGGCAGUGUGUGAUCCGGACAUAAUGAAGGCUGUUCCCGAGUGCCAAGGCCCUGUUUUAAUAUUUACCUCAGAACCUUUAGCAUUUCUUCUUUUCACAUAUUGUUUUGAAUGUCUUUUCAAUUUGAGUUACAUUCAUAGAGUAUUUACUUCUGUACUUGUUAUAACAUUUAAUGUAAUUAGUAGGCCUAUUUAUAUGAUUUGUUGUUUAAAAAAAAAAACACCAAAAAAAGAAAGGUCAAUUUUCAGGAUAAUAUUUUAAAGAUUAUUUUGUGCAUUCCAAAUAAGCUUUACAGAUCUUUAGAAAGGGUUUUAACAAUGUUUGUCAUGUUUUUUUCAAUUAUUGCACAUGCACCUACAAUAUAGGUCAUCAGUUACAAUAAGUUAGAACACUAAAGAGACCUUUUUACUGACUCUGAAAAACACCAGAAUAAAGAUGACCAGGGUCUCUGAUCACCUGUGAAUGUGCUUUAGUCCUGCUGCAGGAGACAAGAGGACUGCAGAUGUGAACAGAGCAAUAAACUGCAAUGUCUGUAAUGUAAGAUGUCUGAGACAGUGCUACAGGGAGACAGAAGGACAUGCAGCUGAUUGUCCUUACAGUGCCAAACCACAUGUGACCAUAAGUCCCACCAGACAUGUUUGAGAGCGUGAAUUGCCUUGAUGGAAGAGUGGAGUAACAUCUCACAGCAAGAGCUGCAAAUCUGGUGCUGAGGAUGAGAUGCUCUAAACCAGCUGGUGCAGACUUUCAAAUACUCUGUCCAUCAAAUGUCUGUGAAAUUUGUUCAGUUUAUGUCUCAGUUGUUGAAUAUUUUUGUUUGUACAAAUAUAUUUUUUAAGAAAUUUGCUGUUCGAAAAUGUUCGAAAAAUGUAGUUAUUGCUUUGCAACAAAAUAUGUGACAAAUAACAUCAAGUGUGCAUUUACUUGUUUGACUUUAAUGAAAAUUUGUCAUAAUAUCCAGUAAAUAUGAGAAAACAGGAAAUAUUUGUAGUUUAGAGUUGAUAAGGGUAGCCUUACUGUGGUGAUAAACACUGAAAAUAUCAAAAUAAUCAAGAAAUUAAGGAUGACAGAAUAUUCACACCAGUCUAUAGCUUAAUUUAUUAGGACACCGAUACAUUUGUAGAGGUUUAUUUCAAGUUGUCAACACUAUGCAGUAGUUAUAGUCACAGAAUGACAACGAAGGAAGCAAACUAAUCAAACUAUUCAAAAACUUUUUAAAGCCUCACAAAUAAAAACACUAAACAGAAAACACAUCAGUGUAAAACAAGGUUAUUCGCUCAUGUUUGCUCUGCUGUAUCCUUCUGUUUAUCUGAAUGCCUGCACUCAAUCAGGCAAAAUAGCUCAGACGAUUUAUCAUAUUAUACAAACUAUGUAUUACUUUGAACAUGUGAACUGUUGCUUAACACUGAAUAUUGUAUUACCUUUUCGAAAUAAUCCAUUAAACCGAUUCGAUUU